CAGCUUGCUGCUUCGCUGACGAGUGGCGGACGGGUGAGUAAUGUCUGGGGAUCUGCCCGAUGGAGGGGGAUAACCACUGGAAACGGUGGCUAAUACCGCAUAACGUCGCAAGACCAAAGUGGGGGACCUUCGGGCCUCACACCAUCGGAUGAACCCAGAUGGGAUUAGCUAGUAGGUGGGGUAACGGCUCACCUAGGCGACGAUCCCUAGCUGGUCUGAGAGGAUGACCAGCCACACUGGAACUGAGACACGGUCCAGACUCCUACGGGAGGCAGCAGUGGGGAAUAUUGCACAAUGGGCGCAAGCCUGAUGCAGCCAUGCCGCGUGUAUGAAGAAGGCCUUCGGGUUGUAAAGUACUUUCAGCGGGGAGGAAGGGAUGGUGCUUAAUACGCGCCGUCAUUGACGUUACCGCAGAAGAAGCACCGGCUAACUCCGUGCCAGCAGCCGCGGUAAUACGGAGGGUGCAAGCGUUAAUCGGAAUUACUGGGCGUAAAGCGCACGCAGGCGGUCUGUUAAGUCAGAUGUGAAAUCCCCGGGCUUAACCUGGGAACUGCAUUUGAAACUGGCAGGCUUGAGUCUCGUAGAGGGGGGUAGAAUUCCAGGUGUAGCGGUGAAAUGCGUAGAGAUCUGGAGGAAUACCGUGGCGAAGGCGGCCCCCUGGACGAAGACUGACGCUAGGUGCGAAAGCGUGGGGAGCAACAGGAUUAGAUACCCUGGUAGUCCACGCCGUAAACGAUGUCGACUUGGAGGCUGUUCCCUUGAGGAGUGGCUUCCGGAGCUAACGCGUUAAGUCGACCGCCUGGGGAGUACGGCCGCAAGGUUAAAACUCAAAUGAAUUGACGGGGGCCCGCACAAGCGGUGGAGCAUGUGGUUUAAUUCGAUGCAACGCGAAGAACCUUACCUGGUCUUGACAUCCACGGAAUUCGGCAGAGAUGCCCUAGUGCCUUCGGGAACCGUGAGACAGGUGCUGCAUGGCUGUCGUCAGCUCGUGUUGUGAAAUGUUGGGUUAAGUCCCGCAACGAGCGCAACCCUUAUCCUUUGUUGCCAGCGCGUGAUGGCGGGAACUCAAAGGAGACUGCCGGUGAUAAACCGGAGGAAGGUGGGGAUGACGUCAAGUCAUCAUGGCCCUUACGACCAGGGCUACACACGUGCUACAAUGGCGCAUACAAAGAGAAGCGACCUCGCGAGAGCAAGCGGACCUCAUAAAGUGCGUCGUAGUCCGGAUUGGAGUCUGCAACUCGACUCCAUGAAGUCGGAAUCGCUAGUAAUCGUGGAUCAGAAUGCCACGGUGAAUACGUUCCCGGGCCUUGUACACACCGCCCGUCACACCAUGGGAGUG
rnacentral:rRNA from 1 species